rnacentral:rRNA from 1 species
AUUGAACGCUGGCGGCAUGCCUUACACAUGCAAGUCGAACGGCAGCACGGGUGCUUGCACCUGGUGGCGAGUGGCGAACGGGUGAGUAAUAUAUCGGAACGUACCUUAUUGUGGGGGAUAACGCAGCGAAAGCUGUGCUAAUACCGCAUAAUCCCUAAGGGGGAAAGCGGGGGACCGUAAGGCCUCGCGCAAUUAGAGCGGCCGAUACCUGAUUAGCUAGUUGGUGAGGUAAAGGCUCACCAAGGCAACGGUCAGUAGCUGGCCUGAGAGGACGAUCAGCCACACUGGGACUGAGACACGGCCCAGACUCCUACGGGAGGCAGCAGUGGGGAAUUUUGGACAAUGGGGGCAACCCUGAUCCAGCAAUGCCGCGUGAGUGAAGAAGGCCUUCGGGUUGUAAAGCUCUUUUGUCAGGGAAGAAACAGCAGCUCUAACACAGUAUGCGAAUGACGGUACCUGAAGAAUAAGCACCGGCUAACUACGUGCCAGCAGCCGCCGUAA